rnacentral:rRNA from 1 species
GUAGGGGGCCAAGCGUUGUCCGGAAUCAUUGGGCGUAAAGAGCUCGUAGGCGGGGCUCAGCAAGUCGGGCCGUGAAAAACCCGGGAGCUCAACUCCGGGACGCCGGUCGAAACUGCUGUGGCUAGGGUCCGGUAGAGGAGAGUGGAAUUCCCGGUGUAGCGGUGAAAUGCGCAGAUAUCGGGAGGAACACCAGCAGCGAAGGCGGCUCUCUGGGCCGGUACCGACGCUCAGGAGCGAAAGCGUGGGGAGCAAACAGGAUUAGAUACCCUGGUAGUCCACGCCGUAAACGUUGGGCACUAGGUGUGGCGGAUUGAUCAAUGUCUGCCGUGUCGUAGCUAACGCGUUAAGUGCCCCGCCUGGGGAGUACGGCCGCAAGGCUA